rnacentral:miRNA from 1 species
AUUUCUAUGUACAUAUGUAUGUGUACAUGUGCAUAUGUACAUCUAUGUAUGUUUGCAAAAUACAAUAUAAAAUAUAUUU